UACAGAGGGUGCAAGCGUUAAUCGGAAUUACUGGGCGUAAAGGGUGCGUAGGUGGAUGUUUAAGUUAGAUGUGAAAUCCCUGGGCUUAACCUAGGAAUUGCAUUUAAGACUGAACGUCUAGAGAUUGAGAGAGGGAAGUGGAAUUUCCGGUGUAGCGGUGAAAUGCGUAGAUAUCGGAAGGAACACCAGUGGCGAAGGCGGCUUCCUGGCUCAAUACUGACACUGAGGCACGAAAGCGUGGGGAGCGAAC
rnacentral:rRNA from 1 species